rnacentral:rRNA from 1 species
UACAGAGGUCUCAAGCGUUGUUCGGAUUCAUUGGGCGUAAAGGGUGCGUAGGUGGCGCCGUAAGUGGGGUGUGAAAUUUCGGAGCUUAACUCCGAAACUGCAUUCCAUACUGCGGUGCUUGAGGACUGGAGAGGAGACUGGAAUUUACGGUGUAGCAGUGAAAUGCGUAGAUAUCGUAAGGAAGACCAGUGGCGAAGGCGAGUCUCUGGACAGCAACUGACGCUGAGGCACGAAGGCCAGGGGAGCAAACGGG